rnacentral:rRNA from 1 species
UACGGAGGGGGCUAGCGUUGUUCGGAAUUACUGGGCGUAAAGCGCACGUAGGCGGCUUUGUAAGUUAGAGGUGAAAGCCCGGGGCUCAACUCCGGAAUUGCCUUUAAGACUGCAUCGCUAGAAUUGUGGAGAGGUAAGUGGAAUUCCGAGUGUAGAGGUGAAAUGCGUAGAUAUCGGAAGGAACAUCAGUGGCGAAAGCGGCUUCCUGGACCAGCACCGACGUUCAGGCACGAAAGCGUGGGGAGCAAACAGG